UACAGGGGUCCCAAGCGUUGUUCGGAUUCAUUGGGCGUAAAGGGUGUGUAGGUGGCGCCGUAAGUCGGGUGUGAAAUCUCGGGGCUUAACUCCGAAACUGCAUUCGAUACUGCGGUGCUUGAGGACUGGAGAGGAGACUGGAAUUCAUGGUGUAGCAGUGAAAUGCGUAGAGAUCAUGAGGAAGACCAGUGGCGAAGGCGGGUCUCUGGACAGUUCCUGACGCUGAGGCACGAAGGCCAGGGGAGCAAACGGG
rnacentral:rRNA from 1 species